CCUACGGGAGGCAGCAGUGGGGAAUAUUGCACAAUGGGGGAAACCCUGAUGCAGCGACGCCGCGUGAGUGAAGAAGUCUUUCGGUAUGUAAAGCUCUAUCAGCAGGGAAGAAAGUGACGAUACCUGAUUCAGAAGACCCGGCUAACUACGUGCCAGCAGCCGCCGUAAUACGUAGGGGGCAAGCGUUCGUCGGAUUUACUGGGGGUAAAGGGAGCGGAGACGGCUGCACAAGUCUGGAGUGAAAUGCCCGGGCUUAACCACGGAACUGCUUUGGAAACUGGGCAGCGAGAGUGCAGGAGAGGUGAGUAGAAUUCCUGGUGUAGCGGUGAAAUGCGUAGAGAUGUGGAGGAACACCAGUGGCGAAGGCGGCCUACUGGACUGUAACUGACGUUGAGGCGCGAAAGCGUGGGGAGCAAACAGGAUUAGAUACCCUAGUAGUC
rnacentral:rRNA from 1 species